CUUGUUUAUAACUGUAUUAACUUAUGUGUUCUAUCUAAGGUGAAUGUGUUUUAAUUUUUUUUGUUUUGACCGCUAGUUUAAAUGUAGUGUCUGUGUAUUCCCUUCUCUUAUCUUCCCCUGCGUUUAGCCUGCUUGUUUAUAAC
rnacentral:sRNA from 1 species